UCUAACAAGCUCUUCCAAGAUGAUGUCAUACUGGUGACCAGGGACCCAUGAAGGUGGACGUCGUGUCCACAAAGAGGCACCAACGGACUCAGAGCACUGAAUUCAGAGUCCCGAAGCUCCAGAACUCAUCCUGAAUGCAGCCAAAUCACUGCUGGGCCAGAGCGUCUCUGCCAGCACUGGUGCGUGGACGGGGCUCACCCUGACAGAGCCCUCCAAGCCUGGGAACAGGCCGCUUUCUGCCGCGGCCUCUGGAGACGAAUUACAUCACCCGGGUCUCUGCCUUGCUCCGUCUCUCUGACAGUCCCCAGCUCAGGGGAGACCCAGGGACUUGGACAACCCGGGAUGGCACGUGUGUCUUUCACAUGUGACUCUCCUGAGCGUCUGUGACGGGAAUGCUCGAAAGGAAGACAUCCGUGCCACUGACAGGUGCCGAGAAGCUCCUGUGGCCUCGAGAAUUUCUGUAAUUCUGCGGGUCCCGGCCUGCGCCCCCCUCUCUGGCCCAGAGCCCCUCGGGCUGAGGCGAAGGGUCCACAUGUCGCUGAAAAUUCCCCCUCACCUCAGGCCUCUUCAAAUUAGAACUUCUCCCAUGUAC